rnacentral:tRNA from 1 species
GCUCGUAUAGCUUAACUACAAAGCGUAGCACUGAAAACGCUAAAAUGAACCCUGAAAAGUUCUACAAGCA